GAAUAGCCCCGAUGGGAGUGGCAUUCUUUUAUAAACCCGUCAGGUUUGUAAAAGAUAUAGCGGACAGCGGGACUAAAC
rnacentral:sRNA from 1 species